CCAAAGGCUCUUUUAAGAGCCACCACUUUGGCACGGAGGAGAGCUGU
rfam:Tinamus guttatus contig66636, whole genome shotgun sequence.